rnacentral:lncRNA from 1 species
CAGCAAUCUUUCAUUGCCCAUGAUAUACAAAGUCUCCGUUUGACCUGCUAUGAAAUGCUAUUUUGUAAAAAUGGUUUCAGGAUCCCAGUGGGUUGUUGCUGACUAACAAACCUAGAAUGGACGGAGAUGAGGCACAAGGCCAUGACAAGCCAGUUGAUGCAGAAGGAGAUGAUGACAAUGAUGAUGACGAUGAUGAUGAGGAGGAAGGGGGUGAUGGAUUAGGAGAAGGUGAAGAGGAAUUGUCCUCUGAAGAUGGAGGUGACUUGGGCAACAAUCCCAACAAUAACAAGAGUAACUCAAAGAAGGGUCCAGGUGGUGGAGCAGCAGGUGGGGCAGAAGAGAAUGGAGAAGAGGAAGAAGAUGACGACGAAGAAGGCGAAGGUCAAGAUGACGACGACGAUGAUGAAGAUGACGACGACGACGACGAUGACGGUGGAGAAGAGGAUGAAGAAGAAGUUGAGGAGGUAGAGAAUGAGGACGAGGAAGAAGAAGAUGAAGACGAGGAAGCCCUCCAGCCCCCAAAGAAGAGGAAGAAGUGAAGUAGGAGAAUAGUGGAGCCUCCUCAGUUCAGUUAUACUGUUUGUUUCUCAGUGACUUGUUAACUUUGUCGAUCUUCUUAGAUUACGAGGGGGGCUGUUUAGGAUAAUGGUAUUAUGCAUAAUUAUCGUACUUUCCAUGCAUGGUUAGAGUACACUCUAGAACUGUGAGCUGCGGCGGCAAUGAUUAAUUCGAAAAAUGUAAUGAUUAUGAUCUUUAAGCCACAUUUAAUCAGAGUUUCUAUUGUUGCUGAUAUACUGCUGCUACUUGCAAAUGGGUUGGUUUUAUGG